GAUGAACGCUGGCGGCGUGCCUAACACAUGCAAGUCGAGCGAACGGACGAGAAGUGUGCUUCUCUGAUGUUAGCGGCGGACGGGUGAGUAACACGUGGAUAACCUACCUAUAAGACUGGGAUAACGUCGGGAAACCGGAGCUAAUACCGGAUGAUAGUUUGAACGGGAGGGUUCAAAAGUGAAAGAGGGUCUUGCUGACACUUAUAGAUGGAUCCGCGCUGCAUUAGCUAGUUGGUAAGGUAACGGCUUACCAAGGCAACGAUGCAUAGCCGACCUGAGAGGAUGAUCAGCCACACUGGAACUGAGACACGGUCCAGACUCCUACGGGAGGCAGCAGUGGGGAAUCUUCCGCAAUGGGCGAAAGCCUGACGCAGCAACGCCGCGUGUGUGAUGAAGGUCUUCGGAUCGUAAAACUCUGUUAUUAGGGAAGAACAUCUGUGUAAGUAACUGUGCCCAUCUUGACGGUACCUACUCAGAAAGCCACGGCUAACUACGUG
rnacentral:rRNA from 1 species